rnacentral:rRNA from 1 species
GCACGAAAGGCGUAACGAUUUGGGCACUGUCUCAACGAGAGACUCGGUGAAAUCAUAGUACCUGUGAAGAUGCAGGUUACCCGCGACAGGACGGAAAGACCCCGUGGAGCUUUACUGUAGCCUGAUAUUGAAAUUCGGCACAGCUUGUACAGGAUAGGUAGGAGCCAUUGAAACGUGAGCGCUAGCUUACGUGGAGGCGUUGGUGGGAUACUACCCUAGCUGUGUUGGCUUUCUAACCCGCACCACUUAUCGUGGUGGGAGACAGUGUCAGGCGGGCAGUUUGACUGGGGCGGUCGCCUCCUAAAAGGUAACGGAGGCGCUCAAAGGUUCCCUCAGAAUGGUUGGAAAUCAUUCACAGAGUGUAAAGGCAUAAGGGAGCUUGACUGCGAGACCUACAAGUCGAGCAGGGUCGAAAGACGGACUUAGUGAUCCGGUG